rnacentral:rRNA from 1 species
UACGGGGGGAGCAAGCGUUGUUCGGAUUUACUGGGCGUAAAGGGCGCGUAGGCGGCCACCGCAAGUCAAUUGUGAAAUCUCCGGGCUUAACUCGGAAAGGUCAACUGAUACUGCGGGGCUAGAGUGCGGAAGGGGCAACUGGAAUUCUCGGUGUAGCGGUGAAAUGCGUAGAUAUCGAGAGGAACACCUGCGGCGAAGGCGGGUUGCUGGGCCGACAUUGACGCUGAGGCGCGAAAGCCAGGGGAGCAAACGGG